CAUGGCAGUUUUCAAACACUAUUUUGUUUCCUGAUUCUAAGAGUGUAACUGCUUUAUAUAUCUUAAUACAAUCUUUUCCAUGGCUGGCUCAUUUCAUUUUGCAUGUUAUCAAGAUUUAUGCUUAUAGUUGUUACAAUAUUUCCUGCUUUUUGAAAAAUGAGUGAUAUUUUAAAUUAUAUUUACUGAAUGAUUUGUUGACCGAAAUUUGCAUUGCUUUUACCUAUUGGCUUUCACUAACAAUUCUGCAAAAAUUAUGAGUAUAAAAAUGACUCUUCAUAUGACCGUAUAUUUGAAAGUAUAUAUAUGUUGCAUUCUAUUUUAUUAGUCUACUUUUUAACAUUUGUACUCAUACCAAAUUGUUUUAAUUCUGUAGCUUUGUAAUAUGUUUUGAAAUCAGGAACUGUUCUGCCUCUGACAUUGUUCCUUUUUUUUUUGAAGUUUGUUCAGUACUUUAUUGUCUCUCGAUAUUUUAUAUACCUUUGGUGUUGCUGUUUCUAUUUCUUCAAAAAUGCAAUGAGAAAUUUGGAAAACAUUGCAUUAAAUCUAUAUUACAUUAAGCAGUAUGGAUAUAUUUACAACACUUAUUAUUUCAACCUUUGAACAGGAGUAUGCUGAAGAGUGUGUUGUUUACUAUCUAUAUAUGUUUGAAUUUUUGGUGUUUUCUAUUGUUGUAUACUCUUAUUCCAUGUUUGUCAUAGAAAGUGAUCUAUACAAAUUCAGUUGUAAAAAAUUUGUUAAGACUUCUUUUUUGGCCUACCAAGUGUUCUAUUGACAGAAAUUUAUGUAUUUUCAUA
rnacentral:lncRNA from 1 species